UUAUCAACAACACAAGCCUUCAAUUAUCAGCUAACUGGGGCAUCCAUCAUCUUCUCAGAUGAAGCCUGCAACGGUGGCACUGCUCAUUUUGGUGAACAUGAUGUGCACUAUUUCAUACUUUGAUCAUGCAAGUUUUCUUGGAACAAAGGCUGAAGAAACCACCUUGCUGCCGAAUUUUGUUGGAAGCAAUGAAGGAACGAGCUCUACGAAGGGCAUAAAUCCUGGAAGGAAGCUGAUGGACAGUAUUGAUAAUUCACACCGCUGGUUUCCUAUCACAAAAAUCGAGGGCCUAAUGAACAACCCCCCUCAUCAUUAGUGUGACCGCAUGCAUUCCCUAAAGUUCAUAAAUGUAUGUCGUUCCACGCAUAUAUAUGAAGGACAUCCUACAUAGUAUAGACACGGUAUAUGUUGCAUCAGCAAGUUCUGGGUUUAGACCUAUUAUAUCUAAAUAAUCUCUGGGGCUCAAGAAAUGCUGUGUAAUCACAUGUCCAGAGCAUACGCUCAAUAUUAAUGAAUAAACCGAUGUCCUGUUUGCGAUAAUAAA